rnacentral:lncRNA from 1 species
CUCGCAGUUCUGCAGAGUUCCUCUCUUUCCGUUCGUUUCCUGAACCAGCAGCCCGUCUACGUGGUCAGCGGCCAGAUCCUGAUCCUGCAGGUCCAGAUAGACCUGGACUCUCCAGACGACUCCAUCACUAAAGUGAUAUGGGAGCAUCAGGCCAAGAGGAAUUCUGGGAAGACUGUAGUGGCUGAAUAUCCCACUAAGAGCUCUGGUGGUCGGGUGGCUGUAGAAAAAGGCGUAGCCGUGAUGAAGCUGAGCAACUACCAGAGAACAGACAGCGGGGAGUACACCGUAACCGCCUCCGACAGACGGGGGAACCAGAAAUCAGCAACCUGCACCGUCCACGAGUACGAGGCUGUUCAUCAUGUGUCGGUGAUGGUGAACGUGUCUCACGCCGUGCUGCACUGCCGCGAGGCGUGGGGAACCGAUCCCACGUUCAGCUGGUUCCAUGAACAGGCCGCCGUGACCCAGGCUGUGGGUAAAGUGCUGGACAGUGGGAGCACUCUUCAUCUCUCUAUCCCACUCUGUGGACACUUCACCUGUGUGGUGUCCAACAAGCUGGGCCACAGCUCCGCCACCUACACUGCAGAGCCCUGUGAGAAGAGUAAUGGAGGUACAGCUGUAGCCGUUGUGUGUCUCCUUCUUCUGCUGUUGCUGGCUGGAGUUCUGGGCUUCCUGUACUGGAGGAGACGCAGCGGCACAAACGACUGGCGCCGACUCGUGUCUUCAGAAGAUCCAGCAAACAGAGCUGAACCCGCGUAUCUCUGCGACGUCGGAAGGGAGGAGGACGUGUGAUUCCCCUGAGAGAGAGAGUCUUCUCUCUCUGCAGCACUGUGACCUCAAACGCUAGCUCUGCUAACAGCUAACAGCACAUGAACUCCAGCCUCCAGCGGGGGAGGGUUAGCGUCUUCAGCUGAUCUUACACAAGCGAUAAACGACAACAACAGCACACUGUAGCCUUACUGUACUGUAGCAUUUCGGCUAAAGUCCUCCGCUCACGUGCUGUGAAGAAGGGAAGGAAGCUGAUGGUUAGCCACUGUUUGAAGCUUUUAAAGAAGGAACACUUGCACUGUUGUUGGUUUUCUCUCAGGUGGUUUUAGAUUUAGAAAUACUGUCUGUGACUCGGAGCUGUUUAAGAGUACCGGUAUUAUCAGAAUACUGUGCCUUUUAGUGUUCCUUAACUAAAAAAAAAAUAAAAAAUACUGGUUAUUUAUAAAAUAUUUCUAA